rnacentral:rRNA from 1 species
CUCAGUUCGGACUGUAGGCUGCAACUCGCCUCACGAAGUUGGAAUUGCUAGUAAUCGUGGAUCAGCAUGCCACGGUGAAUACGUUCCCGGGUCGUUGUACACACCGCCCGUCACACCAUGGGAGCUGGUAACACCCGAAGUCAGUAGUCUAACCGCAAGGAGGACGCUGCCGAAGGUGGGAUUAGCGACUGGGGUGAAGUCGUAACAAGGUAUC